rnacentral:lncRNA from 1 species
UCAUCAUGUUCGCCAUCUGUAUGAAGAGGUAAUAAACAUGGCAGAAACUUCGUCGUCACUUGUUGUUUACCAAAAGUCAUCUCCUCCAUGCUUCCGAAAACUGUAGUUAAAGUAACCCAUGUGAGGAACUGUUCGUAAACUAACGAUCCCAUCGUUUUAACGUUCAUACUGGUAAAGAAAAAUCGAACACCCCCUUUGAGAUCAUGGCGUCGGCCUCUUUGCAACCAAAUAUUUCCAGCCGCUGCUGCUGCUGCAGCCGGUGG